GUAAGAUGUAAUUUAUUCAUUUAAUAUGAAAUAACACAAAAGUUAACUUUCAUUUUAUUUUUUUGAUGAAAUUGAAAAUCUAUUAUAUACUUGAUAUUAAACAUUACAAAACUGAUUUGAUCUUAGUAGUAGAGAGGGAGGAGCCUAUACAGCCCAAGCACUGCGACCAAUUUGAUCUUUGUUCUUGGGAAAUAUUAAGAAAUCAUACAAAUAGUUUUGAGACAAUCCCAGAUUUAGCAUUAAUAUUUCAUUAUGCAGCUAAAAAUUUCAAACUGUUAUAAAAUAUGGAUUGAGGUAAACUCAUUAAAAUUUCAAACAGUUUUUGUGACAAU
rnacentral:lncRNA from 1 species